GGUUCGCGCGAUAAGCACGCGUUUUUAGUCGCCUCCGUGCCGUGCUCCAACGAGAUCACGUGUUUUGCACUGAGGCUCCCGAUUCAAAAUCAGACUGGCUCACAGAUUAAUCUAAUCAAAAACCCAUUAAAAAGAAAAUCUAUUCUAUUUAAGCAGCUGUGGUGUGCUGAUUAUUCCGCGCUAUUUUUGAAUACAUUAAAAUAUUCCCAAGCUCGAGUCUAAUCUACGUACGAGUACAAUGUGUUUUGCGUAAUGGAUCUACUAUACUGAUUUAUUUCCUGCUAAAAAUUGAUUUUAUAUUGCAGCGACAAUCAAUGUCAAAGUCAUUAUUGUUUUUCUGAUAAACGACGGGGACUUUUCGGAGCUAUGAAUAGGUAUAUUUUAGAAUGUUUCUCUUCCAAUUAUUCACAGUUCCACACAUAUUUGCACACACUGUUGUUCAAUCAAAUUUUGUUGGUGGCGAAAAAUGCAAAUAAAAGCACGCGUUUAGAAUCGCUUCGCUCGA